AGAGUUUGAUCCUGGCUCAGAUUGAACGCUAGCGGCAUGCUUAACACAUGCAAGUCGAACGGUAACAGGUCUAGCUUGCUAGAUGCUGACGAGUGGCGGACGGGUGAGUAAUGCGUAGGGAUCUACCUUAUAGUGGGGAAUAACCUGGGGAAACUCAGGCUAAUACCGCAUAAGUCCUAAGGGGGAAAGCAUGGGACCGG
rnacentral:rRNA from 1 species